UUCAGAUGCAUGCUUGCAUCUCAGCAGGCCCAAAAAUUAACAGAAAAUAAAGGGAUCUUCAACUAGUAAGACCUUGUUGCAUAUUCCUGUUUUGACUGGGAGAACUUCAUCUGCAGAGACAAUCUGAACAGGUAUAUGUGAAAAGCUUUAGCAUGGUUGUGAAUCCCAGCAGGACAGAAACAAUAGAGGAUCAAACAAUUUCAUCAUCUUGUUACAUUGAGAUGAGCACCAAAAUAUGCUUGAGGUAAGGAUUAGGGCUUUAGAGAAUACCAGACCUGAAAAUAUGAUGGGAAAUUACAUGAAUACUUGAAUUGUGAUGUAGUCCAAGCAGAAUAGGCUGUUACAUUCCAGUCAUGGAACAGGCUAAUAUCUCCACAGCUGUAAUUGUAGUAUAUGAAGUACUGUUCCUUGCUAAGGUUGGAGUGGAAAUUAACACAGUAAAAGAGCCACUAAAAACUUUG